AAGAACUUAGGUUACAUAUCAACCAUGGACCUUCAAAGUCCAAAACAGGGCCCACUAAACCCUAGUUCUUG
rnacentral:tRNA from 1 species